rnacentral:rRNA from 1 species
GUCGACGGCCUUGGGAGUACGGCCGCAAGGUUAAAACUCAAAUGAAUUGACGGGGGCCCGCACAAGCGGUGGAGCAUGUGGUUUAAUUCGAUGCAACGCGAAGAACCUUACCUGGUCUUGACAUCCACGGAAGUUUUCAGAGAUGAGAAUGUGCCUUCGGGAACCGUGAGACAGGUGCUGCAUGGCUGUCGUCAGCUCGUGUUGUGAAAUGUUGGGUUAAGUCCCGCAACGAGCGCAACCCUUAUCCUUUGUUGCCAGCGGUCCGGCCGGGAACUCAAAGGAGACUGCCAGUGAUAAACUGGAGGAAGGUGGGGAUGACGUCAAGUCAUCAUGGCCCUUACGACCAGGGCUACACACGUGCUACAAUGGCGCAUACAAAGAGAAGCGACCUCGCGAGAGCAAGCGGACCUCAUAAAGUGCGUCGUAGUCCGGAUUGGAGUCUGCAACUCGACUCCAUGAAGUCGGAAUCGCUAGUAAUCGUGGAUCAGAAUGCCACGGUGAAUACGUUCCCGGGCCUUGUACACACCGCCCGUCACACCAUGGGAGUGGGUUGCAAAAGAAGUAGGUAGCUUAACCUUCGGGAGGGCGCUUACCACUUUGUGAUUCAUGACUGGGGUGAAGUCGUAACAAGGUAACCGUAGGGGAACCUGCGGUUGGAUCACCUCCUUACCUUAAAGAAGC